UAAUUGAUUUGUAUAUUUUUUUCAGUUAACGUCUCCGGUGAAAUAAUAGAGGAAUAUUUAUUAAAUUUCAAUGAAACCUAUUUCGAGAGCGACGGAGAAGAAGAAUUGCCCCUUUUUUCGUCAAGUUCGGAUUCUUACGAAUCAGAUAAUGAAUCGCUUGAUUAUACUAAUACGAGUCUAGGAAGAGGCAGACCACGCGUACGUAAGAUUCGACGUCAAAGAAGUCGCCAAGACUCUCGACGUACCACUCCUGAAUCCCCCCAAGCUACGGAAUGGUCUAACGAGGAUUUCAUUCCCAACAUAGUUACGUUUACAGAGCCAGCGUACCUGCCUUUAAAUAGCGAUGGGUACAAUGAAACAAAUUAUUUUACACAGUACAUAAACGAAGAAUUAGUAAACCUCAUCGUUGACAAGUCCAAUUUAAGUUAUGCUGUAGAUACAGGGUCACAACUUAACCUAACGGCCGCAGAAUUCUACCAAUUUCUCGGAGUGAGUCUGGCAAUAUCGUGUAUUGGCUAUCCGACUUUACGGAUGUAUUGGGAUCGGAAAUUCAAAUUUCCUUUGAUAUGUGCCGCUAUGACCCGUGAUCGAUUUGUUUUGUUGAGAAACAGGAUUAAAUUUGUAGUAGAUGCUGAUGUUUCAGUUGAAGAACGUAGUGCUGAUAAGUUGUGGAAAGUCCGUCCAUUGAUUAAUGCAAUUAAACAAGGUUGUCGCGCACUGCCAAAGCAACAAUGCCUCUGUGUGGAUGAGAUAAUCGUUCCAUUUACAGAACAGUGUAGUAUUAAACAAUACUGCCCUGGAAAGCCUAAUCCUGUUGGCUUAAAAAUGUUUGUGCUUGCUGAUCCUCAGGGCCUAAUAUGCGAUUUCGACGUAUAUCAAGGACAGUGUACUUACCCUAAUUACGAUAACACUCAUUUCAGUUUGAGGGAGAAAGCGGUCUUAAAUCUUACAGAGGAUCUUAUUCCUGGGCACAAACUGUAUUUUGACCGUUAUUUUACUAGUGUCAAAUUGAUAAAAGAGUUAACAAAAAGACACUUGAUGGCCACUGGAACAAUUCAGAAAAAACGUAUUCCUGCAUCAGCUAAACCUUUGAUACAAAAUAACCGCGAACUGCAUCAUGAAGGUCAAGGAGCUUGUGAAGUUUUGACUGAUUCCAGCGAUAAUAUAGCGAUAACUCAAUGGUUCGAUAAUAAACCCGUUCUUCUUAUGUCCAACAUUCAUGCCAAGGAGCCUACAGAUACCUGCAAGAGAUGGUCAAAGUCUUUAGGUAUUUACACACAUGUCUCUAGACCUGACGUCAUAAAAGCUUACAACACCAACAUGGGUGGUGUUGAAUCAGCUGUCAAAUUACUGGCUGUCGCUCCGAACCGCUACAAAAGCCGAAAAUGGACAGAUAGAUUCUUCGGUCAUAUGAUAGAUCUGGCAGUAAGUAACUCGUGGGUUUCAUAUAAAGCUGAUCAGACUGCUCGAGGGACUCCAAGUAAACACAUCAAACAGUUCCGAAGUUUCAAAUUGGAGUUAGCUAAUGUCUUAAUUGAUACAUAUUUUGAGACCUCGACUGCUCCAAAUUUAUCAUCCCCGUCCACUCCUCAGAAGAAGCGAAGAGGCAGGAUCCCUGUGAUUCCAACACCAUCUCUUCGAUGCAGAAGGUAUAAUGCCAGACACAUUGCCAUAUUUGCAGAUCGACAAAAUAAAUGCAGGGUCUGCCACAAAAAAACUUGGAUGUCAUGCACGAGUUGCCAGAUUAAUUUGUGUAUCGUGAGAGACAGAAACUGCUUUAGGGACUUCCAUUCUUAGUCAGUUAUCUACGAAAGACAUUGCUGAUUCAAGAUCCUUUAAAAAAACAGACUUGUGAUAACGAACAGAAAAAUAAACAUAAGAAAAAAAGGAGUGUAGGAACUGUUAAUACAUACAAAAUAAAUAAAGAACUUAAAGAUAAAGGCAAAGAAUAUGUUACAAAAAAAGGAAAAGUGAUCGCAGAAAAAACAAUUAGAGAAAAUCCUUGUGCACCUGGAAAAUGUCCAAGGGGUUGUUAUGAGAUAACUGAAGAGCAAAGGAGGGCCAUUUUUAAUUUAUACUGGAGUCUCGAAAUGCGCCGACGCUCUGAUUGGUUGAUUCGCUGCGCUAAAAUUGGAUCUGUAAAAAGAAAGAAAAAUAAGGACUCUGACAGAAGGAAAUUAUCAGUAGAUUACUAUAUUAAUGUAGGUGAAGAUCAUAAAAAAGUUUGCCAACAAUUUCUUCUCUGUACUUUAGAUGUAUGUCAAACUCGUUUAACCUACGCCUUAAAAAAUGCUAAGGAACUGUUUCAUAAACGGAGAAAUACUUACAGAAAAUAGGAAAUAUGCCAGAUCAUCUACUAAAGACAUUACUGAUUCACGAUCUUUUAAAUAAUUUUCCCAGCACUGAACCAACAAAACAAACUUGUGUAAACGAACAAAAAAAUAAACAUAAGAAGAAAAGGAGUGACGGACAUGUUAAUAACAAAACAAAUAAAGAACUUAAAGAUGAAGGUAAAGAAUAUGUAACAAAAAAAGGCAAAGUGAUCGCAGAAAAGGCAAUGAGGAAAAAUCCUUGUGUACCUGGAAAAUGUCAAAGAGGUUGUUUUGAGAUAACUGAAGAGCAAAGGAGGGCCAUUUUUAAUUUAUACUGGAGUCUCGACGUGCACCGACGCUCUGAUUGGUUGAUUCGCUGCGCUAAAAUUGUAUCUGUAAAGAGAAAGAGAAAUAAGGACUCCAACAGAAGGAAAUUCUCAGUAGAUUACUACAUUAACUUAGGCAAAGAUCGUAAAAAAGUUUGUCAAAAAUUUAUUCUCUCUACUUUGGAUGUAUCCCAAAAACGUUUAACCUACACUCUAAAGAAUGCAAAGGAAGUGUCUAAUAAACGAAGAAAUACUUACAGGAAAUAAAGAAUAUUAUGUAAAGAUUUUUUCUUACAUUUCUAUAGAGUUUCUCCUACAA